AUGCAUGCUAUCUUUCAGAGUGUAAGGUUUGAUUUUGUGGAUAACGCUGAGAUAAAAGACAUAACCUCAUUAGAUGCCAAAAACUUCCACUUCAACGUUAUCAGCGGCAAGAACAUGACCUUUGAUAACAUCAAGAUCAUCGCUCCAGCUGAAAGCCCCAACACUGACGGUAUCCAUUUGGGAAGAUGUGAGGGAGUCAAGAUCCUCAACACUAAGAUCGCCACAGGAGAUGACUGCAUCUCCGUGGGAGAUGGGAUGAAGAAUCUCCUCAUUGAGAAAGUUGUGUGCGGUCCAGGACACGGAAUCAGUGUUGGAAGCCUUGGAAGGUACGGAUGGGAGCAAGAUGUCACUGACAUUAACGUUAAGAACUGUACCCUUGAGGGAACCGACAACGGUCUGAGGAUCAAGACAUGGCCAUCUGCCGCUUGCACCACCACCGCUGCCGGUAUUCAUUUUGAGGAUAUCAUCCUUAACAAAGUUAGCAACCCAAUCCUCAUCGACCAGGAGUACUGCCCUUGGAACCAAUGCAACAAGAACGUAAGUAUCUUUUAUUAGAUUCUAUGUCUUGCCACUAUCACCGUAUUCUAUGAAAUUGGAUGGCUCAGCAAACAUAUUAUUCUGAUGGUUUUCUAGAUAUUUAGCAUUCACCAUUUUGGUUGAGGUUACAUAUAUAUGAUUAUGAUCCCAAAGUUUUUUUUUCUAUUUGCAGAAACCAUCAACAAUUAAGCUGGUGGACAUUACCUUCAGGAAUAUUAGAGGAACAUCAGGGAACAAGGACGCAGUAAAACUAUUGUGCAGCAAGGGACAUCCAUGUGAGAACGUUGAGAUUGGAGACAUUAACAUUGAGUACACAGGACCUGACGGUCCACCCACUUUCGAGUGCACAAACGUCACACCUAAGCUUGUGGGAACCCAGAACCCAAAGGCUUGCGUUGGACCUGUGGUCAAGGCUCCUGGCAAAGAGUAAAAUGUUGAAGCUCAUAUCAACACACUAGGGCUUCCACAUCCAAUUUUGUUUAUUCUUUUUCUAAUCCUUUUUCAAGUCACGUAAGGGAGACUUUUACAAAGCUGUAACAAAAAAAUGUUUCUAUCCGAUGCCAACACAUAUAUAGAUGUGUGAGUGCAUAAUGAUGUAAUUAAUAAAACUAAAUUAUAUAUUCUGCGUAUGAUUGUUUCUUUUUAAAAUAUUAAUAUGCGCGGUAAGUUGUAUACACUUCAAUCUUAAUUUUGUUUUCUUUUCCGAAUCUUAAAAUUAUUUAACAAGAUCUGAUUUCAACCUUAAGAUUAAUUUAACUAAUACAGUAUUAGUUUUUUUUUUUUUAGAACUCAUUUUAAACUAGAACUCAAAUCAUUUCAAUAAUAGUUCACUAACAUGUAGUAUUCUUUCCAAGUUAUACUGAACUAGAACUCAAAGAUACACUUGUUCAUACAUAACCGAUGCAAGCAUUUGGACAACGAAACAUGACAUCGUCAUAAGUAAUCUGAUUGGAAAUGUAAUUUUCAAUCAAACUUUCGCUCUUUGCUUAUGAUCUCUUUGGAAAAAAUUUCACUUGAUAAUAUGAGGUGCAUACUCUUCCUCUCUACUUUGGUUCAAUGCUCCUUAAACAUGUUGGAUACUUUUUUAGGCUUCAAUAUAAAAAAGAAGUUAGGAAAAAUUUAUUGAUAUUGUUAGUAAUAUUACUUCUAUGAUAUUGGUACUUCAAAAGAAGCAUGAGUUAUUAUAGAAACUAGGUUAAGAUCUCUGUUUUGCGCAUGAUGAAUUUUAUGUAUACAAAUGAUAUUUUUCUAUUUUUAUUAUUUAUUUUGUGUUUAUUUAUUUCAUAUUUAUAUAAUUAAAUUAGAGUAAACACAUAAAUCAAAACUAUACCUCCUUUUAUUUCUAAUUUUUUUCAUAAAUAAAUCAAUCGUUUUAUUUAUUUUAUAUGAAAUAUAAUUAAUUUGAAUGAUAAUGACAUAGAUAUCUAGUAAAAUUUAAUAUAACUUAUUAAUUGAGAUUUCCUACUCAUAUAAUCUUAUUAACAUUUGUAUAUAUUGCUGUAAAAAAAAUUAAACCAUUAAUUACAAAACUUUCAAUGUGAGAUUUAUUUCAAUACAAAAUUUUAAAUUGAAAUAUUAAGGUCUCAAUACUUUUAAAAUGUAAAUUUCAAAAUUAACGUAUUUAUGUAUUUUUAUAUGGUAUAUAGUUUAAUUUAAACGAUAUUAAGAUAUAUAUAUAUAUAUAUAUUUAAUAUGAAUAUCUAUUAAAUGAGACUUUAUAUUCAUACAAUUUUAUGAUCAUUUUGUAUCUUGUUAUAACAAAAAAAAGUAGUUAAACCAUUGAUUACAAAAUUUCAAUAUGGGCUUUUAACAUUUUUUAGUAAUUUAUAGUUUUUUAAAAUUCAUAAUAUAACAUAUAAGAAAGAGUCUAUAUUUUAAGUAUAUGGUUAAUGUGAUUGUAUAAUUUCUUUUAAUAAUAUAAAAUUAAAUAAAAUAGAUGGAGGUUACAAAAAUUGUUAUCAAAUCUUUAUUAUUCAUAAUCAUUAGUUUUCGUAUAUAUGUUAAUCAUAUUAGGUAAUUUCGUAACUUUUAUUUAGAGAAAUAAUGAAAAUAUUCUUUUGAACAUACAUUACUAAUCAAUUUGAUAGUUAGUUUAAUAAUAAGAUAUAAUAUAUGUUUCGAUAGACCAUCUAUUUUUUUAAGGAUCCUAAGCAUCAUUGUUGUAUUAAUACGUGGAUACAAAAAAAUGUUGCAAUGCUUUUCAAAUAUAUAAAUGAUUAUGUGGUUGAAAGAAAUUAGAAAAAUGCAAUGCAGUUAAGUAAUGAGGAACGAUUGAUUUUUGUUAUUAAAAGACGGAAGUCACGAACCACAUUAAUUAAAGUCAUCGAUUACUGACUGAUGACAACAUAUUUGACAAACAAUAAUAGAAGUUACAUAUAUUAACGCAUAAAGUUACAAAAUACAUAUACAUAUUUGACAAACAAUAAUAGAAGCGACGAAAUACAAACAAACACCUAAAACAAUUAAUUUUCAAAUACAGUCCAGGUUCUCCGAAAGUCGUUUGCUUUGAAAUGCUCUUUUUUAACUUAGUCAUAAACAUCUUCAUCUUUAUAACAUUAAUUAUUUCUUUUAUGAACUGGUUUGCCUUUUUUUCUUCAUGAUAUUGGGUUCAAUAGUUCCAACUUUUGCCUUUUGAAUUGUGUAAAUCUAUUUCACUAUUUGUUGACCAUUUGCAAUUCUUGCUUUUCUUUCAUCAUAUCAUUUUUUGUUGUAUACAUUUCCCUUGAAUGAUGACUAACUUAUACAAAAUUGGAAUCACUUGCAUCAUUUUCGUGGAUUCUUUUAAACCCACUUCUGCCUGACUACAAGAACAUAUUUAAUCACAGAUGAUGACGAGCCCCAUUCCAACAUGUUGAAAUGUAUAGUCUUGGCACUUGAACAUAGCUCAUGCGUUUUUUUUGUCAAUAUAUCAUUAUUCUCUGAUCAUCCAUUUUGUUACAUAGACUUUGCUAUUGUCAGUGCCAACCAUUAUUCCGAUAGUUUUUUCAUGUGGUGUAGUAAUUUUUCUAAACGAAGCAAUUACUGUUCUCUAACAAUUUUGAAAACCAACCAAUGCUAACGUCCAUAUAUAUUUUCCGCAGCCUGCACAACAGGAUUAUCAGAACGUAAAUCUCCUGAAUUUCUUUAAGUUCUAGUACCUUAUAAAAUUCUACUAACAAUUUGAUAUCUUUUUAGAUGGUGUAAAUGUAAUAACAUAAGUUGGCUAGAAACUAACCUCCCAAAAAUAGAGGUAUCAUGCAAAUGCUAUAAACACGAGUGGAACAAGUCUUAUGCCUAACAAUUGAACGCUAAUUUCCCAAAAUUAAAGUAACCUAGCUAAUACUUCCUUAAAAAUGGGUCAAACAUUCUAAAAAAUGAGAAGUUGGGAGAAAGUAUGGGCCUUCAACAUAUCUCUCCAUUUAACGCACUAUAUAAAGCAGCAGGUGCGUAGUAAAAAUCUCAGAAAACAAAAAUUAAAAGACAAUAAAAAAUAAAAAUAAAUAAAUAAAUAUGGGUUCAUAUUUGGGAAUCUAUACAAUUUUGGUUCUAUGUUUGCUAGGAUAUUCAGCCAAUGCUGAGGUGUUCACCGCUGGUGGUCCUCCAAAUUCUGAUAUUACCGCGGUUAGUAUCUUCACUUGUUUUUUAUUACUUGAAUUCCAAUCAAUGUGUAAACCAUUUCUUAUAUUAACAUACUCGUGGGAGCUAUUGUUGCAGGCAGUUCUUAAAGCAUUCACAUCGGCAUGUCAAGCUCCGGCACCAAGCCAGGUGCUGAUCCCAAAAGGUGACUUCAAGCUUGGUGAGACCGUGAUGACUGGUCCAUGCAAAUCUCCAAUCGAGUUCACCUUGCAAGGCAACGUGAAAGCUGACGGUGGCUCUACCCAGGGAAAGGAUAGAUGGGUUGUGUUCGAAAAAAUUAAUGGUUUUAAGUUGAACGGAGGUGGAACAUUUGACGGUGAAGGCAAUGCAGCUUGGAAAGCCAAUAACUGCCACAAGACUUUUGAGUGCAAGAAACUUCCCAUCGUAUGUGUUUAUGUCUUUAAUAUAUUAACACCAAUGGCUUUUUUAAAGAUGAUAUAAUUCAGUGAUGCAUGCUAUCUUUCAGAGCAACUGCCACAAGACUUUUGAGUGCAAGAAACUUCCCAUCGUAGGUGUUUCCGUCUUUAAUAUAUUAACACCAAUGGCUUUUUUUAAAGAUGAUAUAAUUCAGUGAUGCAUGCUAUCUUUCAGAGUGUAAGGUUUGAUUUUGUGGAUAACGCUGAGAUAAAAGACAUAACCUCAUUAGAUGCCAAAAACUUCCACUUCAACGUUAUCAGCGGCAAGAACAUGACCUUUGAUAACAUCAAGAUCAUCGCUCCAGCUGAAAGCCCCAACACUGACGGUAUCCAUUUGGGAAGAUGUGAGGGAGUCAAGAUCCUCAACACUAAGAUCGCCACAGGAGAUGACUGCAUCUCCGUGGGAGAUGGGAUGAAGAAUCUCCUCAUUGAGAAAGUUGUGUGCGGUCCAGGACACGGAAUCAGUGUUGGAAGCCUUGGAAGGUACGGAUGGGAGCAAGAUGUCACUGACAUUAACGUUAAGAACUGUACCCUUGAGGGAACCGACAACGGUCUGAGGAUCAAGACAUGGCCAUCUGCCGCUUGCACCACCACCGCUGCCGGUAUUCAUUUUGAGGAUAUCAUCCUUAACAAAGUUAGCAACCCAAUCCUCAUCGACCAGGAGUACUGCCCUUGGAACCAAUGCAACAAGAACGUAAGUAUCUUUUAUUAGAUUCUAUGUCUUGCCACUAUCACCGUAUUCUAUGAAAUUGGAUGGCUCAGCAAACAUAUUAUUCUGAUGGUUUUCUAGAUAUUUAGCAUUCACCAUUUUGGUUGAGGUUACAUAUAUAUGAUUAUGAUCCCAAAGUUUUUUUUCUAUUUGCAGAAACCAUCAACAAUUAAGCUGGUGGACAUUACCUUCAGGAAUAUUAGAGGAACAUCAGGGAACAAGGACGCAGUGAAACUAUUGUGCAGCAAGGGACAUCCAUGUGAGAACGUUGAGAUUGGAGACAUUAACAUUGAGUACACAGGACCUGACGGUCCACCCACUUUCGAGUGCACAAACGUCACACCUAAGCUUGUGGGAACCCAGAACCCAAAGGCUUGCGUUGGACCUGUGGUCAAGGCUCCUGGCAAAGAGUAAAAUGUUGAAGCUCAUAUCAACACAUUAGGGCUUCCACAUCCAAUUUUGUUUAUUCUUUUUCUAAUUCUUUUUCAAGUCACGUAAGGAGACUUUUACAAAGCUGUAACAAAAAAAUGUUUCUAUCGAUGCCAACACAUAAUGUGUGAGUGCAUUAUGAUUUAAUAAAACUAAAAAGAUUUAUCUAUCUUUUCUACACAUAUAUGAUUUUCUUUUUUUAUAACAUGCUUAAUUUUCUUUUAAAAAUCUUAUUAAUUGACAAUAAAUGUUCUGAUCCAUGUCUAUUUUUAUUUGAUGGUUGCCAAGAACCAAUCACUGUAAAUAGUUAUUCUUAUCGCGAAUCGAAUUAUGGUGAUGGAAGUUACAGCCACAAUUCAUUUACCAGUAGAGUUGAUUCGUUCGCUUAUUGGGGAAUAUUUUUGGGACGUCUUAUCGAGAUAAUAGAGAAUGAUGCGUUCUUGUACAUCUUUUUCUUGAUUCAUGUAGUUUAAGGAGUUCAGGCAUUUUGGUUUAAGCGAGUGAGAUAUCGUUCUAGUGAUAUUUAGAGUAUAUUGUUUUGCUGGUGGAUUACUUCUUUGAUUAUAAUUGACACCAGGGAUACAUGGUUUGUUCUUUUUUACUUUGAGUUCAGGUGUAUGAUGUGACCCCGUUUGUGGAGGAUCAUCUUGGAGGCAAAGGGGUCUUGUUAUUCUCAAAAUGGUUUGGAUAAAAUCAAAUCUUACUGAUAUAACAUUGGUUGCACUCUAGUCUAGUGUGGAUACGAAAACGGCAAGAUGAUCCUCCACAGUGAAACCAAAUCUUACUGAUAUUUUAAAUACCUACUAACAUGAGUGUGUGUAUGGCCUAAAUAAAUAUGGACAAUGGUGUGUGUACACAAUAUGAUAUGAGUGUCCAUCUGGAUACUCAGUUCGCGUACAUCUUUUGUUGUACAUCUCCGAUUCCUAAAAUUUGAUGAACAUUUCUUCCUUUCAACAGCUCUUAUACAGUAGACAUUUUCUCUCAAACAAUGCAAUAUAUUAUUGUUAUUAUUACUCUCAGUAUCUUGCACCAUAGGUUCACAAAUGCAAGAUGUAGUCAAAUUCAUGAAAAUGUACAUGUACACCGUUUUCUGUAAUCAUGCAAAACUACUUAGAUUUCAAUGCAUUAGUGAGUUCUUUUUCUGUAAACCUCCUCUUGGGAAUCUGAAUUAUUCAUCUCUGAAUGUUUCAUGUAGUAAGAAAAACCAUAUACCAAUAUAUAAGAAACAAUUACAUUAUAGUCCAUUUUCCUAAUGAGAGUUAGAUAGUUUCGUCCAAGCUAAGACAUUCUAUUUCUAAGCACGAAUAUGACAUCAUUAAAACAUCUGCAAAACAUUGACUAGCAUAGCCUUACUCUUAGAAGACACUUCAAUAUAAACGAACAACAAGACAUGAUUAAAGAGGCCAGACAUACAAAAAUUCAGACAACGAAAACAGAUUUACUAACAUACCAGAAUCUCAAGUUUGGAAUAUGACAAAAAUGGACACUUUACAUCUUUUUAACACUAAUUUUCAGGAAAGAAUAAAACAGACAAUAAAAUUACUAAUCUUACUGUAUUUUGGGAAAAAACAGAAAAUAGAGCCAAUGUGGUGGUAGAAAGUCGUCAUGGUGGUGCUUCUGGAGCUUCACCGGAGUGUUGUCGACUGCGCGGGAGAGAUGUGAUUAUGUUUUUCAUCAACCGGUGUUUGCCGACCGGAUCUUGAUGAAAACCGUGUAAAUAAAUAUUCUCCAGAGUUUAUAAAAUGUCUUUACAAUGUAAAUAAAUAAAUAAACAAGCUGUAAAUCACUAUAUUCUCAAAGUCAAACCGAGUCUGGUUAUUUCUGUUCUGAUAUGUCCGGUCCGGAUAUUUUUGCCCCGGCUUAAACAUAACCCUAACCCUAAAAAAAAAAAAGCACAAUAAAAAAAGAAGCCUUUCACAUUUUUCAUUUUUUCUUUCUCUUAAUCUUCCUUCAGAAUCCAGCCGCCUCUGUCAAACUCUCAAACUACCUCAGGGUUCGUACCACACUCUUCCUUCAUGUUUCCAUCUUUAACCUAGAACGGUCUGGAUUUAAUUGCAACUAGUCAUAAACUUUAUUCUAAAACUCUAAUUUCGAAGGCACUAGAUAUCUAAAAAAUUGUUAUCCAUUUUUGGUAGUUUGAUUUACGAGGUUUCUACUUCUUAUAUUGAUUUCAUCAUACACUGGUGUUAUAGGUUUCUUCGUCCUCGUGUUGUUGCGUUGUUGAUUUUGUUUGUUAAAUUCCGUUAUUACAGAUGUCAGCAUUAAUGGAUCAAGAUUCAGGGAUGUUCAAGGUUCAGCAAACCAUUGUAAGUGUCUUGUGUUGCAAGUGUGGUGUUCCUAUGCCACCAAACGCAGCCAACAUGUGUGUCAACUGUCUCCGUUCCGAAGUCGACAUCACCGAAGGCUUACAGAAGAGUGUCCAAAUCUUCUAUUGCCCUGAGUGUGGCUGUUACUUGCAGCCACCCAAGACGUGGAUCAAAGCUCAGUGGGAAUCCAAAGAGCUCUUAUCUUUCUGCAUCAAGAGGCUCAAGAAUCUCAACAAAGUCAGGCUCACGAACGCUGAGUUCGUCUGGACUGAGCCUCACUCCAAGAGAAUCAAACUCAAGCUCACUGUUCAAGCCGAGGUUCUUAACGGUGCUGGUCUUGAGCAGUCAUAUCUCGUUGAGUAUACCGUUAGAGACCAUCUCUGCGAGUCUUGCUCGAGGUUUCAGGCCAACCCUGAUCAGUGGGUUGCUUCGGUUCAGCUUAGGCAGCAUGUUUCUCACAGGAGGUCUUUCUUUUAUCUCGAACAGUUGAUUCUCAGGAACGAUGCUGCUUCUCGCGCCGUAAGAAUCAAGCAGGUUCAUCAAGGGGUUGAUUUCUUCUUUGGGAAUAAAAGUCAUGCUGAUAACUUUGUUGAGUUUUUGAGUAAAGUUGUUCCCAUUGAGUCUCGUCAGGACAAGCAGCUAGUGUCUCACGAUGUCAAGAGCAGCUUGUACAACUACAAGUACACUUACUCCGUUAAGAUCUGUCCUAUCUGCCGUGAGGAUCUUAUCUUCCUGCCUUCCAAAGUUGCUAGCGGGUUAGGAAGCCUUGGUCCGCUUGUGGUGUGCACAAAAGUUUCUGAAAGAAUCACGCUGCUUGAUCCUAGAACCUUGAGGUGUGCGUUCUUGGACGCCAGACAGUACUGGAGAUCCGGAUUUCGAUCCGCUCUCACCAGCAGGCAGCUUGUGAAGUACUCAGUGGUUUAUGUGGAACCACCUGUUGGUGAAGCGACUGUCGGAGGGCAAAAGUAUGCUCUAUCCUAUGUCCACAUCGCACGUGAGUCAGACAUUGGUAAGAUGUUAACUGUCCAAAGACUCCAAACUCAUCUAGGACAUAUCCUGAAAACAGGAGAUCAAGCUUUAGGGUAUGAUAUCUACGGUGCAAAUGUUAGCGACGAUGAAAUGGACGAGUAUCGUUUGCAUGGGGGGAUUCCUGAAGUGAUUCUUAUCAAGAAAUGCUAUGACAAGGAGAGAGAGAGGAAGAAGGGGAAGCCACGUGCGUUUACGACCAAGAAGCUUCCAAUGGAGAUGGAUGAGUCAAGAGGAGGACGCGGAGUUGAUCCAAAGAAGAUGGAGAAUGAAUAUGAAGAGUUUUUGAGGGAUCUUGAAGAGAAUCCUGAGCUGAGGUUUAACAUAUCAUUGUACAAGAACAAGGAUUAUCAAGAGUCUGAUGAGACUGCUUCAAUGACGGAUGGAGAAGGUGCACCGACUGUGCCGAUUGAAGAGUUGCUUGCUGAGCUUGAGCUUAGUGAAGAGGAAGGCGAUGAUGAAGAGUACAUGGAUGAGUAAUUUUCCUUUUAAAAGACACUCAAUGAUUGGGUUAAUUGUAUGCACAGGAGUUUUUGUUUCUAGCUUCAUAUUUUUCUGAGACUUAUUAUGGUUAUACUUUGUUUGAAAUUUUGAUUUUUGAACGUGUAAUAGUUGCAACUACGGUGGAUCAUACAGUGAAGCCAAUCUGUGUCGCCAUUAUCAAUGGAGUGUAAAAGAAACAAAAUGGCUCACAUUCAAAUCCAAUCUCUCUUUAAUCCUUUCAUUAAAAAUGUGUUUUGAGUUUAAGAUCUCUAUUUUGCGUCUUCAACGUUAUGUAAUGUAGGAUAUGUACAUUAAUCAGUUAACAUAUACAACUAUAUAUAUAUGUAACUUGAGAAAAAGAGGCAGUCACAAAAUUAUCUAUGUUGUCCGCGGUUAUUCCUGAUUGAUAGAUGUCCCCAUGAGAGACGGUUUAUUAUCAUGGUGGAUUCCACACGGACUAUCUCUGCUUGCAAUGCAAGCUUCGCCUGGAAUCAAGAGACCACCUCGGCACCUCUUCAUUACAUAGUGUAUAAAACGUUCAUAAUCAGAAGAAAAUGCAAGUUUUUUAAAAAUUAACUCAAAUUUACUUAUAUUUUCAGUUCAGUUGCUAACAAAUUUUGUUACAUUUUCAGCUAUAGUUGUCUUGGUAAAACAACCAAAAUUUAUAAUAUUAUAAGAAAGUAACAAUUUAUUGGUUAAGGUACUUUUUAGUUUUAACCUUCAAGAUAUAAAAUUAGACAGCAGAUUCCAAAGACAAGGGACACAACCUAAAAAAUGAGAGGUGGUGAGAAAAGUUAAACUGAACUUCUCUUCCCCCAACCCACUAUAUAAAUGUAACUAUGAGUUAAAUCAAAUUCAAGAAACAAAACAACAUAAUUAAUAGUAAAUAGUAAUACGAGUAGUAAAUACAUAUUUUUAACAAUGGGUGCAUAUUUUGGAGUUUCUACAAUAUUUAUUUUCUGUUUGCUGGGGUUUUCAGCCAAUGCUGAGGUUUUCAGCAUUGAUUCCUCUUCAGGUUCUGAUAUUACUCAGGUUAGUCAUGUAUUGCUUUUCCUCUAUCUUGCGUUACAAGCAAUCUAGAAAACCACAUUUUUGGCUUAGUUGUUAAAGUUUCAUUGUGCUGAUAUAUGCAGGCACUUCUGAAAGCAUUCACAUCGGCAUGCCAAUCUCCGUCACCGAGCAAAGUAGUGAUCCCAGAAGGAGAGUUCAAGCUUGGUGAGAUCGAGAUGAGGGGACCAUGCAAAGCUCCAGUCGAGAUCACCCUUCAAGGCACUGUCAAAGCUGACGGUAACGCGAUCCAGGGGAAGGAAAAAUGGGUUGUCUUCGGCAACAUUAAUGGGUUUAAGUUGAACGGAGGUGGAGCUUUUGACGGUGAAGGAAACGCAGCUUGGAGAGUCAAUAACUGUCACAAGACAUUCAACUGCAAGAAACUUCCCAUCGUAUGUGCUUCUGUCCUCACUUGUUUUUAAGAUUUUGAAAUUAUUACCUAGGUGUUAGAUGGUGAGUAGGCUCUUAAGUCCUAUAUGGAUUGUUUGCCCACAAAAAUUAAAGAAUUGAAAAAAAUAAAAGUAUUGAUGGUUUUGAGACCUCAAUAUAACAGAAUUUUAACUAGCUUUUGUGAAGAAAACAAAACAACUUAUUGAUGUAAUUUUAUCUUUGUUUUUUAUAGAGUAUAAGGUUUGAUUUCGUGGAGAACGCUGAGAUCAAAGACAUAUCAUCGAUAGAUGCCAAGAACUUCCACAUCAACGUGCUCGGAGCCAAGAACAUGACCAUGAGUAACAUCAAGAUCACCGCUCCAGAAGACAGCCCCAACACUGACGGUAUCCAUUUGGGAAGA
rnacentral:lncRNA from 1 species